rnacentral:lncRNA from 1 species
GGGCGCACUCACCGAACUCCCCAAUCCCUUCCAGCCUCAGAGCCCGCCUGGCAGGACUACUGAGCAAGGCCUUGGAAAAUCGGAGCGAUUAGAGCGGUUCAAACAAUACAGAAGUGUAUAAAGUAAGAAUUGAAAGUCUCUUCGCUGCUCUAAUCUCACUCCUCAGAGGUGAUCACUGGACCUGAGUGAGCAGAAGGCUUUUCAGAAUUACAGCCUGAACUAUUUCUUGAGCAAUUUGGGAACUCAUUUCUAAAGCAGUCCUCAGAUUCACACAACGUAGUUUGUGACGGAGUAUGCCCAGAGCAGUGUUAUCACCAGUGCUUUCAGUAACUGCAUACUUAUAAAACAGCCAAACUUCAACCUGUGUUCAGUUUUUAUCUGUUUCUUGGGAAUGUAAUUUGGACAAAAAAGUUACCAAUGUAUUUACAACCAAAUUUCAGAUCUUCAACAUUACAGAGGUGUGGAAGAUGAUCAAAGUAUGACAUUUCUUCUACCCCAGAGGCUGGCAUUUCUGCAGGCACAAAUGAGCUUGGUUUUCAAGCACUGCUCUUUGAACACAAGGAAUUCCUUUAAUGAUCACGCCGGACUAUAUAGACUUUGGAAUCAGACUCUUUGAAUUCCAGCUCUGCCAUUUACCAACUUUGACACUUUGGACAACGUCUCAUUCUGUCACCCAGGCUGGAGUGCAGUGGCACAAUUAUAGCUCACUGCAGCCUCAAACACCUGGGCUCAAGCAAUCCUUCCACCUCUGCCUCCUGAGUAAUUGGGACUACAGGCAUGUGCCACCACACCCAGCUAAUUUUUAAUUUUUAAUUUUUUUGUAGAGAUGGCGGUCUUGCUAUGUCACCCAGGCUGGUCUUGAACACCUGGCCUCAAGUGAUCCUCCGGCCUUGGUCUCUCAAAGCUCUGGGAUUACAGACAUGAGCCACUGCACCCGGCUCUAUCUCCCCUUCCUAUGUGUGUUAGCUCUAGAACAAGAGAAGCCUUGUUGAGAUUCCUGGCUGCCCACCCCCCAUCACCUCUCUGACUUUGGGCAAGUUGCCUGGCCUCUCUCAGCCUUUAUUUUCUUUUUGUGAAAUGGGGAUAAUAAUAGUACUUGCCUCAUAGGCAAAAUGUUGUGAGAACUAAACGAGAAAAUGCAUGUAAAGCACUUGGCACUUAGUUCUUUUUAUGAUUAUAAUGAUAAUCAGACACAAUAAAUUAUGUCUCACAUCA